AGGAAUGUUCCUUCUUUGCC
rnacentral:miRNA from 2 species